GACGAACGCUGGCGGCGUGCUUAACACAUGCAAGUCGAACGAAGUGGCGAACGGGUGAGUAACGCGUAAUCAACCUGCCCUUCAGAGGGGGACAACAGUUGGAAACGACUGCUAAUACCGCAUACUGAAGGAGGGGAUUGCGUCUGAUUAGCUAGGUGGAGGGGUAACGGCCCCCCAAGGCGAUGAUCAGGAGCCUGUCUGAGAGGGUGAACGGCCAAAUUGGGACUGAGACACGGCCCCGACUCCUACGGGAGGCAGCCGGGGGGAAUCUUCCGCAAUGGACGAAAGUCUGACGGAGCAACGCCGCGGGAGUGAUGACGGCCUUCGGGUUGGAAAGCUCUGUUAAUCGGGGCGCGGUACCGGAAUAGAAAGCCACGGCUAACUACGUGCCAGCCGCCGCGGUAAUAC
rnacentral:rRNA from 1 species